rnacentral:rRNA from 1 species
CCUACGGGAGGCAGCAGUGGGGGAUAUUGCACAAUGGGGGAAACCCUGAUGCAGCGACGCCGCGUGUGGGAAGACGGUCCUCUGGAUUGUAAACCACUGUCCCCAGGGACGAAGAUGACGGUACCUGGGGAGGAAGCUCCGGCUAACUACGUGCCAGCAGCCGCGGUAAUACGUAGGGAGCAAGCGUUGUCCGGAAUUACUGGGUGUAAAGGGAGCGUAGGCGGGAUGGCAAGUUGGGUGUUAAAUCUACCGGCUCAACUGGUAGUCGCACUCAAAACUGCUAUUCUUGAGUGAAGUAGAGGCAG